UUUUAACUGACUGGUCCAUCUUGAGGGGUGUGUCCCGUGAGCAGCUAUAAAGAGAGCAGGAGCAGUAUACGGUUGUGUUUACAUGUUUUACAGCACUCUUUCCCUAAUGGUCGGCUUUAACAGAGGGCUUUAAACAAAAUGGCCAGUUUUUAUCAGGGCAUGUGAGGAAAUCAAUGGAGCAAACAGUAUUUGGGUAUAAAAACGUGUCUUGGAAUAAGGGUUUGUGAUGGAGGGAGAAUUUUAGCCUUCAUAGCAGAAGUACAGUGAAUGCCACGUGUUAUUUUGAUUUUUAGCUAUUAAUGAAUUUCUUUUUAUUUUAUUUUGGUUGAUGUUUAGGUUAUGUGCUUAAAGGUGAUGUAUGUUUGACUGUAAGUCAAAUAAUACCAUAAUAAAAUAAUACCAAUUAAAAUAAUAAAAUAAUAUCAAUUAUUUUGGUACUUUGGGGACAUCUGUUGCAUUCUCGAUUAUGCGAGAGGUUUACAUGUCUAGCACAACCUGAAUUUCCAUGUACGCAAUCACACAGCUAACGCCCAUAUGCCAAAUGUGUAUUAAUUUCCUCCUCACAGGUGUGAUUAUAGCAGUUAUGGUCUUUGGAUGGAUGGCAUUCUGGUGCAGAAUUUGUUCCUUAUGGGCUUCGAGGUCGGUGAUCUGUCCCCAUGGAGCCUCCACAGCUUCCGUGUGCAGGCCUGCACGGCUCAGGGCUGCGCUCUGGGGCCCCUGGUGGAAGGCAGGACUUCAGAGAUGCUUCCCGAUGGUCACAUGACCCUGUAUGUCCUCAGAGAGACUCCACAUUCAGCGUGAGCCAAGUGGGAGGCCCCAGCUAAACCCAACGGCAACCUGACCUACACAGUUCUCUUCACCGGGCCAGGUAAAUCAAACUUAACUGCUUCCCUUCACCCCUUCACAUCCCCCCUCAGUUCCUUCGAGUAAACGCAACACUGCCUCCCUGCAUGCUGCCUCUGCUGCUUGUAUUGACUUUUACCUUUUUCCCUUUGUUUGUUUACAAACAAAAAUGCUGAAAGGUCAGCGAACCUUAGCACACCCUGCUUGCGCGGUAAUGGGCUUAAAUGAAUUGUUGUCUGCCUCCAUUUUGCUCAGGCUGGCUGCUGGGUGCUAUCGCGGGCCAGAAGGGCUGCAGGAGGACACCCGUGAUCUUCUCCUCUCGUUCUUCACAGGAUGAGAACGGACAGGUUUGUUAAAAAGCGUAAUGACAUGCUGAAAAGGAAUCUCCCACUGCUUGCCGCCCUGAUCUCUGCUGGAGCUUCCCCUAUGCUGGUUAGAGGAUAAAUGUUUGCCGUAAUGAGAGGGCAUCCAAAACUCUGUGUAUUCCUGGUCAAAGUCCAGCCAGUCUCAGAUGAAAAGACUGACCUGCACCUCUAUGUGUCAGCACUUCUUUUUGUCUGCCAGGCCAAUAGAAUAGAUUGUCUCUCUCCAUUAAUCAAAAGUUCAUCUGUACAGCUUACAGAUUCUACACAUUUAAUCCUGCCAACAGACCUGUGUGUGUGUGUGUGUGUGUGUUACAGUAUGUGUGUUUCACUAUAGCCUACUGAAAUGAAUACAUUGACAUUUUUAUACCGCAUAAUCAUCCACCAUCAGCAAAUUAUAACCCAUAAUGUGCUUGUUUGUGAAAAAAAAAAAAAAACAGAGGUUGAUUCUCAGACCGCCAUAUUACUCCGUCAGCGUCUAAUUAAGCUGAGCUCACCUGAUCGUUAAUAUUUGCGAGAGAUCACUUACAAAGCAA
ensembl:lncRNA